UCAGUGGCAAGACAGUGAAAUGCUUCAAGAGGCAGAUUUCCCUGAGGUGCCAAGCAGUCCUUCCAGACCAGGUGAAAGUGACAGUUCCUGCCAAAGUCCCAGCGAUGCUUGCUGUAUGGUAGAUGUUGAGGUGCCAAGCAGUCCUUCCAGACCAGGUGAAAGUGACAGUUCCUGCCAAAGUCCCAGCGAUGCUUGCUGUAUGGUAGAUGUUGAGAAUACUGGUACUGGAUGUGCAGAUAAUGAAUCUG